rnacentral:rRNA from 1 species
AGAGUUUNGUAUCCCNGUCAGAACGAACGCUGGCGGCAGGCUUAACACAUGCAAGUCGAGCGCACCUUCGGGUGAGCGGCGGACGGGUUAGUAACGCGUGGGAACAUACCCUUUGGUACGGAAUAGCCUCUGGAAACGGAGAGUAAUACCGUAUGAGCCCUUCGGGGGAAAGAUUUAUCGCCAAAGGAUUGGCCCGCGUUAGAUUAGGUAGUUGGUGGGGUAAUGGCCUACCAAGCCUACGAUCUAUAGCUGGUUUUAGAGGAUGAUCAGCAACACUGGGACUGAGACACGGCCCAGACUCCUACGGGAGGCAGCAGUGGGGAAUCUUGGACAAUGGGGGCAACCCUGAUCCAGCCAUGCCGCGUGAGUGAUGAAGGCCUUAGGGUCGUAAAGCUCUUUCGCCUGUGAAGAUAAUGACGNAGCAGNAAAGAACCCCGNAUCCCG